rnacentral:rRNA from 1 species
GAUGAACGCUGGCGGCGUGCCUAAUACAUGCAAGUCGAGCGAACAGACGAGGAGCUUGCUCCUCUGACGUUAGCGGCGGACGGGUGAGUAACACGUGGAUAACCUACCUAUAAGACUGGGAUAACUUCGGGAAACCGGAGCUAAUACCGGAUAAUAUAUUGAACCGCAUGGUUCAAUAGUGAAAGACGGUUUUGCUGUCACUUAUAGCUGGAUCCGCGCCGCAUUAGGUAGUUGGUAAGGUAACGGCUUACCAAGGCAACGAUGCGUAGCCGACCUGAGAGGGUGAUCGGCCACACUGGAACUGAGGCACGGUCCAGACUCCUACGGGAGGCAGCAGUAGGGAAUCUUCCGCAAUGGGCGGAAGCCUGACGGAGCAACGCCGCGUGAGUGAUGAAGGUCUUCGGAUCGUAAAACUCUGUUAUUAGGGAAAAACAAAUGUGUAAGUAACUAUGCACGUCUUGACGGUACCUAAUCAGAAAGCCACGGCUAACUACGUG